rnacentral:lncRNA from 1 species
GACCUGGGGUCCCUGCUUCUCCAGGUGCUCCCGGAUUUUGCUCUCUAGCCUCCGGUUCUCGGUCUCCAGGCUCCUCACUCUGUCCAGAUGUGGGCCACCAGCCUUAAGCCAGAGGGAGCUUUGUAAGACAGGAACAUAUAAAAUGAUAAAAGCUUCUCUACGUACAGUUUUCCUGACUCUGAUUCUGCGUGGGACAACCAGUGAAAAUUGCAGGUGAAGAGAAGAAAUGCGUAUUUAUUCCUCCACUGGGAAAAAAAAUACCAUCCAAAGCUACAUGACUUGAGAGACAAGGUCUCACUAUGUUGCCCAGGCUGGCCUCGAACUCCCGGGCUUCAGCAGUCCUCCCGCCUCACCCUCCGAUGUAGCUAGGACUACAGGACCGCGACCCGGCGCUGCCUAAGAACUGUUUUUAAACGUGAAAGCCACGGCUAUCAUUUGCUUUUUGCUCUGCUCUUCAUCUUCUGGAUAAACCUCGUAACACACUGCUUGUUUUGGGUGGUAGUCUGCUGCCUACGCCCCGUCAGACAAGUGGCCUGAGUCCCCCGCAACCCCUGCAGGUCCGGCCGCCGGCGCCAAGCCUCAAGGCAUCCAAGCCAGGAACGAUCGCGGUCAGCUCUGCCACGGAACAUGUGCAAGACCCGGCAGCAGGUUCCGGGGGAGGCGAAUUGAUUUCACAACGGUCGAGAAGGAGGACCCCGCCCACUUCGUCAUUUCUCGGAAGCCCAGGGACUCGCCGGAAGAGCGGCUCAAAAGCCGGAAAACUGGCAAAUCCGAGUCUCCCGGCGCAUGCGCGGCGCAAUCGGCUUCGCGUGGUUGCAGUAGAGAGGAUCCCUCCGCCAGCCACUGCAUCCGGCGGCCGGAUCUAACUUACCCGCUAGCGUUUUACCCUUGCGCGGCCGUGGCGUAGGGCGGUCUUUUCCCUUGGUCCUCCGCGGCGCCGCCUCUUGUGACGUAAGCCGCAGAAUCCUCUGUCUUAGUUCGGCUCUAUUGCCGCGAGCUUGACUCUUCCUGGGUCUGAGGAAAAGUAAAAGUAAUUUUGUCAUUUCCUGAAACUUCAAGUUAAACCUUUAAGCUGUUCAUUUCCUAAAAGGGUGAAAACGCGGGCACCCCUCGAGCUAGUUCAUCGCCUUUUAACCUAAAAAAAGUAUACUCAUGAGCAAGAAAGAAAACAAACAACAAACAAAAUGAAGUAGGAAACUCAAUGUUAACAGCUUAACACAGAAAGCCACUACAACAAUGAACAAAAAUUGCAAGUUAAUGAUAAAGUAAUGUAGAAACAAAAUUACAGACUACUAAAAACAUGGGAUUGCCAGUUGUUCAGAAAUUCCACAGAUGGAUCGUGAGUGGUUGUUGGAUCUUUCCAGAUCACCACACCACAUCACCCAGCCACUCUGCCCAAUGGGAGGGCAGACAGUGUUCCAGUGUAGGAGGAAGGGGUGUAAGGUGCGGGCAGUUUGUGAGGAGGGCACCAACGAGAGCUACUGUGAGAAAGUCUGCAUGGUCAAAAAGUGGAUUACCAAGAACAAAGCAUCAUAAUGUUGUCCAGUGGACCCCAGGGUCAUCUGGAUGAAAUGAAUACUUUUAGGGCAAAAUGGCUGAUACUGCUUCCUUGAUAACCACAUAUAGAAAACUGACAACUGUUUAGAACAAAGCCAAAGAUGAAACCAAAUAUAAAACCACUGAUGAAAACUAAGUGAAAAAUAUAAGCAAAAUAGAAGAAAAAUAAGGUCGUUAUUUCAAGAAAACGAAAGACAGUCAAUGCUGUUCUUUGUAUUCACAUACAAUUUGGUUCACACCAAAAUGUGAGUUGUUCUCUAUGAGAUGUUAUUAAAUGUUCCUAAGAAGACUCGCUUUAGAAAAAAACAGUAUUCCUAAGGCAUGUCCAAUCUGUCUCUUUUCUUAAUUGCUAUAGUUCUACUUUAUUAUUAUAAUGUAUUCAGCAUUAAAAUUCAUUAUUUCCCAAUAAGCUUGACUUUAUCUUAUAAUGAAAUACAACUGUCUUCUUGGUGAUUUUUAUAGGAGAUAUUAUGGAAAUAUUUUAUUAACAGAAGUAAAUAAAGUGUCAUAUCAUUUGGCUUUUCAGCCGUGUUAUAACAUUUGCAUUUUGUUUUUUCUGCCUUUACCCUCCCUGCUUCUAGCUGCAUAAAAUAAUGCAUUUUAAAAAUAAAAAUACAUUAUUUUUCAACAUAUGUGUGACAAUAAAAAGAUCACUGGGUCAGGGGUCAGACGAUCUGAGUUCUGCCCUUUCAUUUUCUUAUCUGUAAAAAUGAUUCCUAAGAUUCCUUCUAUUACUAACAUUUUAUAAUCUACAUUCAAAUUUUAUGUGAAAGUUUAGUGCAUCCGAGAUAACUAUUUUCAAAUAAGAAUCUCUUUUGAUGCUAACAUCUAUGCAUCAAAUUCUUCAUUCUCAAGUUGUAAGUUGCUCUUUACAUAAUUUCACCUAUGUACAUAUAUUCUAUAGAAAAAAGAGACAUUCCAGUAUCUUAACAAUGUCAAAAAGGAUAUACUGACACUAACAUUAACUGGAGAUUGGAAGACUAGACAAAUCAAGGCUAGAACUACAUAAGGGAAGCUAUUCUCCCAAAUACGCUGUUUUUGCUGUUGUUUAACCAAAGAUAUCUUCCCUUUCAUUCUUCUUUUUUAAAGCUAAGGAUAUUUAAGACAUUAAUAUGUUUGGCUAACUGAUUAAUA